GGCGGACCGUGGCGGCGUGGGUGAAGCCGCAGCUGUUGGAGCGUCUCCUGCAUCUGUCCCUGGCCUAAACCCGACGCUAGGCUGGAGGGAGCGACUGCGGGCCGGGCUGGCGGGGACUGGGGCCUCGUUGUGGUUCGUGGCGGGGCUGGGGCUGCUUUACGCCCUGAGGAUCCCUUUGAGGCUGUGUGAGAAUUUGGCAGCGGAUAUUUGAAUGGUGGUACUUCCAUAAGCAUGGCACAUCUUUUAUUGAGCAAGUAUCUGUAAGCCAUUUGCAACCACUGAUGGGAGGAACAGAGAGCAGCAUUUCAGAACCAGGUUCUCCUUCGAGGAACAGAGAAAAUGAAACCAGCAGACAGAAUUUGUCAGGUGACUACUUUUCUAAUGUGUUUUCAGAGCUGUGUAUUUAAGAUUGAGUUUGGCUCUGGGAGAUAGAAAACUCAAAACAGCAGAGUGCUGUGGUGUGCAUGUUUGUGUUUCCCCCAAAAUUCUAAUCACCAAUGUGAUGUUACGAGGUAGGGUCUUUGGGAGGUGAUCAGGUCAUGAGGGCAGUGCCCUCAGGGAUGUGAUGAAUGCCCUUAUGAGAGACCCCAGAGAGCUGCUUGCCACUUCUACCGUGGGAGGACACCACGAGAAGGCGCCGUCUGUGAACCAGAAAGCAGACCCUCACCAGACACCAAAUUUGUUGGUACCUUGGUCAUAGACUUCCCAGCCUCCAGAACUGUUAAAAAUAAAUUUAUACUGUUUAUAAUCUA
rnacentral:lncRNA from 1 species